UAGCCCUAGGCCGAGCUUAGUUUCUGGUUGCAAACCGUACGGAAUCCCCUUUCCUCCCUCUCUUGCCACGAACCCUUCGCCGUCGCCGGCGAUCCCACCGACUCCCAGCCGCCUCUGCUUCCCCGGCGAUGUCUCUGCUUUGCGCUCCGCCGUCAAUGCGCGUUGCCCGGGCUAUGCGUCGCCUUCUCCCUGCGUCCUUGUGAGACCCGAGCCGCAAAUCCAGGCCCCAAGCGGGAUGCCACGCCGAGCCGCAGGAUUGACAGAACUCGGGGAGGUCUCCUGAUCCGGUGGUUGUUCGGUUCGCUGCCCCCUCCUUGCAUUGAUAAAGGAUUUUCUUGCAAGCCACUAGAUAUGGACCCAUGAAACGGACGAGGACGGCAUCUUACUGAAAUAGUACAGCGAGGAGUACUCUGCACACCGUGGUUGGAUGGAGAUAUACAUCGCAACAACUGAACAAGAUAAGGAUGAUUAGGAUGAGUUGAGGUGGGUUAUGGGCUAAAUUAUAAAGGCUUCCACAUAUCACCUCCCAUGUCUACUAAUCUAUUAUCAAAGCAACCAAAGAUCUAACUGCAGCUCCUGUUAUAUCAGAAUGUUUGAUUCCUUCGUGAGCUGAAUGCACAGAGUUGCUUUUGACGUUCACACGCCAUGCAGUUGUCGAGAACUCCAUCUUGAAAGGACCCCCAACUGACAGUCGUCUCAGCAAAGUUGAUGAAUUUUUCUGCUUUUUCCUUGAACGUUGGGCCACUGCAGGAGUCUGAGCCAGGAAUUGGAAUGGAGCCUCUGGAGACGAUCCUGCAAUCCAAUGGAAGCAAAUACAUGUAUAGCUGAGCAUGCACCAAAUAUGAGAAGUACUGUCCUGUGCCGCUAAGGCAGGAUAUUGGGCCGAAGAUAUUUUCGGCAGCAUUCUGGAGAUGGUCAAGUUCGUACGGAACUGGAGAGGUACCACUUGGUGUAAACUCUUUUGAGCAGCUUACUAUUUUUGCAGGAAUCCUCCUGUAUAAGUUACAGCCAUGGUAGUCAUCAGGCGGUAAACUGUCGACCAUGAGCUUCUGGAGAGGGCAUGGAAACGGAAGGAGAUGGAUGAUGUUGAUGACGGCCUCCUUGUAAUCUAUGGAGGUGACCUUGCAAGGCCCCAGAAUUGGGUGAUGUAGGAUGGUGUCUUGGCCAGAGCAUGCUAGCCUCGCGCAUGAAGCGCGGCAUGCUGAUGAUGUAUUGCUGGAUUCAAGCCGGUGAGGGAAACGGAUCUCUGGUCCAUCCUUGCUGCACCGGGACGGUGGACAAUGCCUGAAGAAGUCGUGGUCAUCCCAGCCUGAAGCUGUGGUGGCCAUGUAGCUGCAGGUGCCAUGGCUGAGGAAAGCAAGCAGGAGAUAUAUGGCGAGGAAUUUGCUACUCAUAUUGAUCUCUGACUCUAGGUGCAAAAGCAAUUGUGUGUGUGAUAACUGUAGUAUGUUCCCUUGAAAAAAAAAAGAGAUAACUGUAGUCUGUACUCUGUAGGUAUUCCAUAUAUGUACAUGAAGUGGAGGUGUGGAUAUAUAUAUGUGGGAUCAGGAUAUUGCAACUGUGCGCUUCAUUGUAAGCAACAAUGCGCUGUAUGUUCUCCCCGUGUUUCAUGUUACAAGUCAUUUUUUUCAUAUUAUAAGUCAAUUUGACUUU